rnacentral:tRNA from 1 species
GGCUACGUAGCUCAGUUGGUUAGAGCACAGCACUCAUAAUGCUGGGGUCACGGGUUCGAAUCCCGUCGUAGCCACCA